rnacentral:misc_RNA from 1 species
AAAACAAUGUAUAUCUACGUCGAUAUUUGCUCCAACGGUGAUUUAAUGAAAACGAUCUAAAUAAAUUAGUGCGGAAAAUGAAUUGGGUCUUAGUAUUUGUUGCGUCAUCUUCGCUUUUCUUCGCGAAUCGCCUGACAUUCUUCAUGGAUUUCCCGCCCUCGCCUGCGUCAAAAUAACGAAAUCUGGCAGCGUUUAGGAAGCAGUUUAGCUGAUCUUAAGGCAUGUUAUGGAUGCAGUGGAGGCAACAAUUCUGCAUGUGCUUCCAAUACAUUCAACACAUCAAGCGAAGAAAUUUAUAUUUCCGAUUGCCUGAAAGUUUAUCACUUGUACAAUACAACAGAAGCAGUUUGUUUGAAGGUGGUAGGGUGGUCGGACGACGAUUCAAAUAUAGUCCAAAGAUCUUGCGCCCCUAAAACCGUUGGUGACACUGAAGUUUGUGAAUAUUUGACUAAAAAUAAUACUUAUACCCAGCUCUACGGCAUCAACGGGACAACAACAUGCAACACGUGCACAUCCGAUUAUUGCAAUGGAUCAACUUCACAUCUGGGGUCAGCGUUCGCUUUGUUUUUAAGCAUAUUUACAAUAUGGCAUGUAAUUUAUUAAUAUAAAAUGUAGAUUUUGUAAAAGGUAUCGUUUGAAAUAUAUCUCAUUAACCUAAA